ensembl:lncRNA
GGGUCAGUGGUUGGUGAGUAUUUAGUAGUGGUCAGAGGUUGGUGAGUAGUUAGAAGUGGUCAGUUGUCAAGGUUGGUGAGUAGUUAGUAGUGGUCAGUGGUUGGUGAGUAGUUAGUAGUGGUCAGUGGUUGGUGUGUAGUUAGUAGUGGUCAGAGGUUGGUGAGUAGUUAGUAGUGGUCAGUGGUUGGUGAGUAGUUAGUAGUGGCCAGUGGUUGGUGAGUAGUUAGUAGGGGUCAGUGGUUGCUGGUUGGUGAGUAGUUAGUAGUGGUCAGUGGUUGG